rnacentral:rRNA from 1 species
GAUGAACGCUGGCGGCGUGCUUAACACAUGCAAGUCGAACGGUGAAGGCGGAGCUUGCUCUGCUGGAUCAGUGGCGAACGGGUGAGUAACACGUGAGCAAUCUGCCCCUGACUGUGGGAUAAGCGCUGGAAACGGCGUCUAAUACUGGAUACGAGCUGCUAAGGCAUCUUCAGCAGCUGGAAAGAAUUUCGGUCAGGGAUGGGCUCGCGGCCUAUCAGCUUGUUGGUGAGGUAAUGGCUCACCAAGGCGUCGACGGGUAGCCGGCAUGAGAGGGUGACCGGCCACACUGGGACUGAGAAACGGCCCAGACUCCUACGGGAGGCAGCAGUGGGGAAUAUUGCACAAUGGGCGAAAGCCUGAUGCAGUAACGCCGCGUGAGGGACGACGGCCUUCGGGUUGUAAACCUCUUUUAGCAGGGAAGAAGCGAAAGUGGCGGUACCUGCAGAAAAAGCGCCGGCUAACUACGUG